CAGGCGCUCCGUGUUUGUGACGUGCCUUAGACAGCCCAGUAGAGAUGCUGGCCGUGCGGAGUUCCGGAGUGAGAUCUGAACCAUGAAGCACCUGGGAGCCACCCACACGUAACAGGAAGGAGUGUUUCUGGCUCCUGCUUCUGACUGUGAAUCCCCCACUCCCAGCCUCUUCUUCUGCCUCACCCCACUUGCCCCGACUAGGGAGGGAGCUCAAGUUCUAAAUGAUUCUCCCUUAGAGAAAAGCACUUAAGACGACAAACUCAAAACCCAUCCUGAAGUCGCUGGACGUCUUCUCACUGGAGAGAGAGGCGUCUUCUACUGCUGGGCUGGAGUGAAGUGCAACCGGAAUCCCGGCUCAGCUUGGCAGGAGGCUGGGGGAAGUGGGGACCGUCAGAGCGGCAGCUGCUUGAGGCUGUAAAUAUUUGAUGGAAGUCUGCGGUGUGCCUAUCAGGAUCUAUAUGAAAGUGAUACAACGGAAGCAGAGAAGGGGAGGCGGCAGACCCACUGGGGACCCCCAGCAGCCUGCCUGGAGCUGCCUCCUGCUAACA